rnacentral:rRNA from 1 species
ACACGCAUGACACACUGCAUAUCAAUAAGCGGAGGAAAAGAAACUAACAAGGAUCCCCCUAGUAACGGCGAGUGAAGCGGGAAGAGCUCAAAUUUGAAAUCUUCAAGGGUUUCCCUUGACGAAUUGUAGUUUAAAGAAGUGUUUUCUGUUAGAGAGGUGGUAAAAGUUCUUUGGAAUAGGACAUCAUAGAGGGUGAGAAUCCCGUAUUUGAUCACUUAUUUCCUAACUGUGUGAUACACUUUCAAAGAGUCGGAUUGUUUGGGAAUGCAGUCCAAAAUGGGUGGUAAAUUUCAUCUAAAGCUAAAUAUUGGCGAGAGACCGAUAGCGAACAAGUACCGUGAGGGAAAGAUGAAAAGAACUUUGAAAAGAGAGUUAAACAGUACGUGAAAUUGUCAAAAGGGAAGCGUUUGACACCAGUGUUGUUUUUCCGAAAAUCAAUUACGAAUGUUUUAGUUUUUGAGGAGUUAUGACUUCAUCGGCUUGCUCCUUUCUUUACUGAAACUUUCUUAAUGCACUCUUCGGUUAACAAGUCAACAUCAAUUUCUUUUGUUGUAAAAGGGUAUGAGGAAGGUGGCUUUCUUUUCGGAGAAAGUGUUUAUAGCCUUGUGCCUCUGCAAUCGGAGAGAUUGAGGUCUGCAGCGUAGAUCCUUCGGGGUUAGAUACAUUUGUGCUAAGUUAUAGCUUUUCAUAGACAACUUGUUGACUAUGUUUAGUCUUGUAGCUUACUCGCUGACGCUAUUUUACCUACGCUUAGGAUGUUGAUCUACAGAGCGAGAGU